GUCCGCUCGAACCAAGUCGGGUUUUAUGUGGGGCAACUUGUUGAUUGUAGCCAUAACAAAUCCAGAAAGUUUUUCACUUUCUCCCAGAGUUUGAAGUGCAUCGAAAUUCUUGCUUAAUUUCUCAUAGAAAUCUUGAACUUUUUCAUAAUUAUGUCCUCUUACUGGAGUUAAGUUAAUUAUGGCAUCCAUAUGGGCAUUGAUAACAUGUUUGGGGUGACCAUACUCGCUUUUUAAUCUCUCCCAUGCAAUCUUGUAACCGACUUCACCUGGUUUCAAAUUAGCAAUCUUUUCCCUCACCUUUGGGCUCACCAUUUCCAAUAAAAACCCGUAUUUUUCUUCGGCUGUACUCGCUUUCUCGUGAACAAGUGUCAAAAACAUGUUCUCAAAUCGCACCCAAUCUGUGGGGGUCCCAUUAAACGGUGUUAUUUUUAACUUUGGUAAUUUCGCUGCAGAUGAACGAGCGGUCUUUUCUAUUUCAAUCUUUCUCUGAGUCAUGCGUAAUUCAGCUUCGUGCCUUUCUUGCCAUAAUUGUCGUUCGCGUUCCUCUUGUGCUUCGCGAAUUUCAGCUCGUCGUUGUUCUUCUUGUUGAAAUUGUUUAUCUUUCAAUUCUAGCCGUCGUAAUUCAGCUUCGUCAUAAGCUUUUUCUUGUUUUUCCUUUAGUUGUUGUGCUAUUUUCUCUUUGUCUUCGAUCAGCGCUGAAUAUUUAGCUCUUGUUUCCUUUUUCCACUGUCUAACUGAACGCGGUGUUUUGCCGUUAUCGAUUUUCAACUCUUCUGUUUGUGAAAUUAGCUCCGAUAUUUUGACGAUUAUUUUCCCAGCGCGAUUGUUUAUAGCUUCCAUUUCACCGUAAUCUUUCGCUUGAAUAAUUUCAUUUGUUUCUUCUAAGAAAUACUUCAACUUAGAAAUCUCUUUCUCAAUAUCUCCUUCGAGUUUUUGCUCACCUGCGUUUGUAAUCUCGCUCGCCUUUUCGUCGCUCAUAAUGAUAAAUCAACAGUGUUUACUUCGUAUUUCGCCGCUUUGUGUGUUUGAUUUUCGUCGCUUUUUCCUCUCGAAUCCUGGUCACGGCACCACUAGUAUACCGAACUCAUUACUCACGUAGUAUACUAUUAAUUAUUUAAUCGAAAAUCCAAAAAUAAAACUUACAAAACUUAAACCUAAAAUAUAUUAAAUUUCUCACAGUCUCACGAAUCACGAUAUGUCUCACAGUCUCAAUGUUGUUUUUGUAUUAUUCUGUCUAUCAACUAAUUGUACUUUGCUAUUACUUCAAAAUGUCAAUCUUGUUUAUAAAAGUCCCCGCCCCUUGUCACGCCACCUAAUGUGGCCUAUACUAAUUUCGGUUCA